CUACGGGGGGCACCAGUGAGGAAUAUUGGGCAAUGGAGGCAACUCUGACCCAGCCAUGCCGCGUGCAGGAAGACGGCCCUCUGGGUUGUAAACUGCUUUUGUUUGGGGAUAAACCCUUCUACGUGUAGAAGGCUGAAGGUACCUUACGAAUAAGGAUCGGCUAACUCCGUGCCAGCAGCCGCGGUAAUACGGAGGAUCCAAGCGUUAUCCGGAUUUAUUGGGUUUAAAGGGUCCGUAGGCGGAUCUUUAAGUCAGUGGUGAAAGCCCACAGCUCAACUGUGGAACUGCCAUUGAUACUGGAGAUCUUGAGUGUAGUAGAAGUAGGCGGAAUAGGGCAUGUAGCGGUGAAAUGCAUAGAUAUGCCCUAGAACACCGAUUGCGAAGGCAGCUUACUAUGUUACAACUGACGCUGAGGGACGAAAGCGUGGGGAGCAAACAGGAUUAGAUACCCUCGUAGUC
rnacentral:rRNA from 1 species